GUCAACAAAGAUGGAGAGGGAAGUAAACAAUCGAAAAAGCGAUGGAAUCGGACCACAACUGGACAAUCAUCAGCUAACAGACGGUCCACUCUCGAGAUGGAGAGAGAGCGAGCCCAAAUGAUUUUUGUCGGCUGAUGGCUAAGCAGAUUCGGAGAUUAACUGACCGAAAGACCAUAUCCAUCGAUAAUUUCAUUAAUUCAACCUCAAAUCACCGUGCUUGUGACCUUUAUCCAGUGCAGUGGAAUAUUGUCGUGACAGAACAAUGGGGAAUAUCGUGUUAUUAACAAUUUGAAUUACAGCAUCUGCAAUGUAUAUUUAUUGUGAAUAAAAAAUAUUAUGAUAGAA
rnacentral:lncRNA from 1 species